rnacentral:rRNA from 1 species
GAUGAACGCUGACGGCGUGCCUAAUACAUGCAAGUCGAGCGAACGGACGAGAAGCUUGCUUCUCUGAUGUUAGCGGCGGACGGGUGAGUAACACGUGGAUAACCUACCUAUAAGACUGGGAUAACUUCGGGAAACCGGAGCUAAUACCGGAUAAUAUUUUGAACCGCAUGGUUCAAAAGUGAAAGACGGUCUUGCUGUCACUUAUAGAUGGAUCCGCGCUGCAUUAGCUAGUUGGUAAGGUAACGGCUUACCAAGGCAACGAUGCAUAGCCGACCUGAGAGGGUGAUCGGCCACACUGGAACUGAGACACGGUCCAGACUCCUACGGGAGGCAGCAGUAGGGAAUCUUCCGCAAUGGGCGAAAGCCUGACGGAGCAACGCCGCGUGAGUGAUGAAGGUCUUCGGAUCGUAAAACUCUGUUAUUAGGGAAGAACAUAUGUGUAAGUAACUGUGCACAUCUUGACGGUACCUAAUCAGAAAGCCACGGCUAACUACGUGCCAGCAGCCGCGGUAAUACGUAGGUGGCAAGCGUUAUCCGGAAUUAUUGGGCGUAAAGCGCGCGUAGGCGGUUUUUUAAGUCUGAUGUGAAAGCCCACGGCUCAACCGUGGAGGGUCAUUGGAAACUGGAAAACUUGAGUGCAGAAGAGGAAAGUGGAAUUCCAUGUGUAGCGGUGAAAUGCGCAGAGAUAUGGAGGAACACCAGUGGCGAAGGCGACUUUCUGGUCUGUAACUGACGCUGAUGUGCGAAAGCGUGGGGAUCAAACAGG